CGUCUUUAAAGAUAUAUAUAUAUACAUUGGAUACCACUAGCAAACCAUGUCCGUAUUAUGUAAAACAUUUUUUGAACAGGACAUACUACGUAUUCAAUCUUACUACAGAAGAGGAUCAGUGCAAACCAAAUACAAGGACUCUUAGCGCGGAACUGGGCAACGAUACAGAAGCGGGAGAACCUUACAUGGACAUACAAAACUGGGCAGGAAACAAAACUUUGAGAAAGCUUCUCCGGUAUUACAAUGAUCAGGAAAAGUGUGGCGUAGUUUGGUACAAACAAAAUGGAACAAGCCACUUCGAACUGCAUGUACGAGUGGACAAAUUCCUAAUCAUGGAUGGAAAAAAAGUUUUCUCGAACUGUUUAUCUGUUUACCGCGCAUUUAUUUCGCAAUUGAAUAGCCUGACUUUAGAGUGCACACCAGGA
rnacentral:lncRNA from 1 species